CCUACGGGUGGCAGCAGUGAGGAAUAUUGGUCAAUGGGCUUACGCCUGAACCAGCCAAGUCGCGUGAGGGAAGACUGCCCUAUGGGUUGUAAACCUCUUUUGUCAGGGAGCAAUUGGCGCUCCGUGUAGCGUUAUCGAGAGUACCUGAAGAAAAGCAUCCGCCUACCUCCGUGCCAGCAGCGGCGGUAAUACGGAGGAUGCAGGCGUUAUCCGGAUUUUUUGGGUUUAAGGGGUACGUAGGCGGAAUGCCAAGUCAGCGGUAAAAUCGCGGGGCUCAACCUCGCUCCGCCGUUGAAACUGGCGUUCUUGAGUGGGCGAGAAGUAUGCGGAAUGCGUGGUGUAGCGGUGAAAUGCAUAGAUAUCACGCAGAACUCCGAUUGCGAAGGCAGCAUACCGGCGCCCAACUGACGCUGAAGCACGAAAGCGUGGGUAUCGAACAGGAUUAGAUACCCCUGUAGUC
rnacentral:rRNA from 1 species